CGAAUGUUCCUCAGCCUGAGAAAGAGAAAGCAGCAUUUUAUGGAGGAAGACAAAAAUGAUGGAAAGCUUACCAGCCUGCUUCGUUUACUACAGGAUUGGUGGCAGACUAGAGGACCUUUCCAGGAGCUGAUAAAUAAGGUUCUCCUAUUUAGGGUGGAAAAAUGAAAUACUGACAACCCUCUGCCAUAAGAAAUAAGCUACGAAAUGUUUAUCUCCGUAUUAUCCAACAAUAAUUAUUGCAAUGUAACUAGAAUAAUUUUCUUCAAAAGCCAUUCAAGGUAGCCAGGAGCUCUUGCCCUGGUCACUG